rnacentral:rRNA from 1 species
AUGUGGGCUGAUCCCAUCCUUCCGGGUCUACUACUCAAGAACCUCCCCUACGGCGAGACCUUCUUCGGCCACCCCACUGGACGAGCCACCGAUGGCCGCCUUGUGCUGGACUUCAUCGCCGAGGCUUUGGGUCUGCCUUUCGUGCCGCCGUACCUCGCCAAGGGGAGCAACUUCUCCGCCGGAGUCAACUUCGCCGUGGCAGGAGCGCCGGCUCUAACCCUGACAUACCUGCAGGGACAAAAUUUGACCGUGACGAACCCUCCGAUCAACAGCUCCCUCCACGAUCAGCUCGAGUGGUUCCAGAAACUGAAGCCUUCGCUCUGCAAGGAACAAGGUGCUGAUUGCUUCGGGGGCUCCCUGUUUAUCAUGGGAGAGUUUGGGUCAAAUGACUACAGGAACAUCCUUAUGUCCAACAGGACGGUUGAACAAGCCUUAAUUUAUGUUCCUCUAAUUGACAGCAUCGCCACAGGCGUAGAGAAACUGAUCCAGCAAGGCGCCAAGUACAUCGUUGUGGCAGACGUCUUCCCGACUGGCUGCAUACCGCCAAUUCUCAAAAUGCUCGCUAGCCCAAAUAAAAUGGAGUACGAUCGGCAUGGAUGCCUGAAGAGUGGGAACAGGCUGGGACGCUCCCAGAACUCUCUCCUCCGCCAACGGAUCAAGAUGCUUCGGCACAAGUAUCCACAUACGAAGAUCAUUGCCACCGAGUACUACAGACCCAUCCUAGCUUUUCUAGAUAUGCCAGGGCAUUUUGGACUGAACAACAGCACAACUCUCCUCACCUGUUGUGGUGCAGGAGGCCCUCCAUAUAACUACGACUUCAACACAGGGUGCGGCCUCCCGGGUGUGAAGGCGUGCACAGAUCCAUCUCAGGCGCUUCAGUGGGAUGGUUUCCACCUAACAGAGUCUGCCUAUAGGGCCAUCGCCGAUGGGUGGCUCCAUGGCCCCUAUGCGGAUCCAACGAUAAUGGACAUUGCACGCUAA